GGCCUUCGGGUUGUAAACUGCUUUUGUACGGAACGAAAGGCUCUGCCCUAAUACGGCGGANAUAUGACGGUACCGUAAGAAUAAGCACCGGCUAACUACGUGCCAGCAGCCGCGGUAAUACGUAGGGUGCAAGCGUUAAUCGGAAUUACUGGGCGUAAAGCGUGCGCAGGCGGUUAUAUAAGUCAGAUGUGAAAUCCCCGGGCUCAACCUGGGAACUGCAUUUGAGACUGUAUAGCUGGAGUACGGCAGAGGGGGAUGGAAUUCCGCGUGUAGCAGUGAAAUGCGUAGAUAUGCGGAGGAACACCGAUGGCGAAGGCAAUCCCCUGGGCCUGUACUGACGCUCAUGCAC
rnacentral:rRNA from 1 species